rnacentral:rRNA from 1 species
UACGAAGGGAGCUAGCGUUGUUCGGAAUCACUGGGCGUAAAGCGCACGUAGGCGGAUGUGUCAGUCAGGGGUGAAAUCCCGGAGCUCAACUUCGGAACUGCCUUUGAUGCAGCACGUCUUGAGUCCGGAAGAGGUGGGUGGAAUUCCUAGUGUAGAGGUGAAAUUCGUAGAUAUUAGGAAGAACACCGGUGGCGAAGGCGGCCCACUGGUCCGGUACUGACGCUGAGGUGCGAAAGCGUGGGGAGCAAACAGG